rnacentral:lncRNA from 1 species
GUCGGGUCUUACGGUUGUCGGUAUGACGGGUCUGCCUCACCGCGCGCGAUUUUCUCCGGUGGAAUGUACAGUCGUGCCGCUUAAGGGUACAGCAUAGGGUACAGCUGAUGCCCGGAGGGAAUAAAGGGAGGUAACCAAACUAGAUGAGCCAGAUACAUUCAGACUAUAAUGUCAACACAUGAUCUGCAGCAGUCAAGUUGUCAAAGCGGAGUGAACGCCAGCGUGACUUGCGUUGGCUCAGAUCAGGAGGGAUUGUACACACAAACUGAUAAAUCACGUUUUCAGAAUGUAAGUGAACACGAGAAGAAACAUCCUGGACCACUGGCUCAGCACAUCCUCAACAAGAAAGAUUUAGAAACUAGAACUACUGCUUCUUCACCACCAUCAUUGCAGUUAACAGGCCAGCAGAAAAGCAGCAGAGAUUUGCAGAUCAGGCAAAUAAUACUUCUCAGAUCUAAGGAAGACCUCAGUAGGACAUCUGAGGAGCAGAGGAAAUCUGCCAGAUUCAUUUCCACCAUCUCUAUCAGUUUUCCCAAUAUAAGAAACAAAAAAGACACAGCGGAGGAAAAAACACUGAAAACUACAACUAACCUCACACAUGAAGCCGUAAAGAACACAGCUAAUCAACACCACACAGAGCUAAGGGACGUGCUUUCACAAACUGACCAAUGUGGCAAAUCAACUGGUAUAUUUAAGAAUGGGGAUGGGCCAAAAGCAAGCUUUGAUGAAGACAGCUUUACCACUCUGCAUCAAUGUGGGACAAAGCCGGGACAAAAUACAGGAAUACAACACGACAUAGGCCUUCAUGAACAAACAGAAAUUGUCCACAACAACUCACAAAGAGAUUCUACUCAUCCUGUUUGUGAGGUUCAAACACAAUUCAACAAGGAAUCUGGAGCCAAUGACUGUAGAGAGAAUGCUGUAACAACUCCACAAUACCACAGUAAUCUGACCUCCCUUGAAGUGGACAAUGGUCUAAAAGCAAGCACUGAUUCCCAGUUUUUUGCACACCAUUCAGAAGUUGCAAACCAGGUCUUGUCAUUAGACUAUUUACCUGCUCCUCAUUCUGAAAAUACCCUUGAGCCAGAACCUGGAUAUAUCAAUCCUACAUCAGCUAUGUUAUCAUCAGCCCUGGCCUCAGUUCUUGCUCCACCUUGGAGUGGCCGCCUUCGAAGACCCAAGCAAAGCGGAAACGAAGUACAGCAUGAACCCCAAGAUUGUGGACAGAAUAUGAACCCAUCUACCUUAUUUCGCCAGGAUCGGCUGCAACAACCGUUUCUUCCUUCCCAGAGGCGACCAUCUGAACACAUGUUGGCCAAUGACAAUGACAUGCAGUUGGCUGCAGGAACCAGCUAUAACUCUCCUGACUGGCAAAAAGAGAACAAUUCCCCGAACAUCACAACCAAAAUACAGCCAAAGAGACCCAUUACUGAGUCCUCCUCUGUGGGCAUGAUGUACAAUAAUACAGAUUUGCAUCCUUUUCCCACACCUCUGGCCCAUUCAGGGUACAGAAUAUCAAACACUGGAGAUGAACAUGAGUCUUUCAAAUCAUUGAGCUCUAAGCCAACAACAAGCAGCCUACUUCUUUCCUUGAGGAGGUCAAAUCUGAGAAACUCCAGUGCUGAGCCCACACAAUCAGAGACUCAGAUGACUAGGUCUGUCAGGUCCCUUACGUUGCCUAGCAGAGUUGUUCUGAAAACUCCAUCAUUUGCCCAUCCUGUUACCGCUGAUGCCCAAACCCCCGAAUACCCAGACACUCCUGCAAGUACAGAGGAAAUACCAGUCAGUCAGUUCCCUUUCUCCCCUAGAAUUAGGAGUAGAGUGCCAUUAAGGGCAUCACUGUUUCUAAACAAACCAGAGACAGAAAUUUCAAAGAGACUAGAAGCUUCUAUUGCCAAAGCAGAGGAGGAACAUUUCCCACACUCCACAACCAAAACCAGCCAACUUGGGGUUCUCAGAGCCCAAGAACGUUCUUAUUCAGUUCUUUUGAGGGAAUAUUCCAGUACAGAAGACACAGAUGCAGUGGAACAAAAUACUGCCAACAACACCAACCUGCAAUACUCCAAUAUGACCAAACAACAAGUAUCUCCAGAUACCACAAUUUCUCCCAAAGAUUCAACAAAUUUUAAUGUUCAACAAUCUGGCUUUAAUGUCCAAAAAUUAAAAUCACAAAGCACACACAAUAUAAUAGCCAGCAGUUCUUCGGGCACAAGCACCUUCACAGACAGGCUCAACUACUCACCCUGGAAAGACUCUUCUGUAGAUGGAACAAGUCCCACAAAUAUAUAUCUGGACUCUAAGAAAUAUUCUCAGUCAAGUCAAAGCACGAUGGAUCUUUCGAGCCCUCUUUCUCCAAGCAGACCUCUCAGAAGUGUAAGAGUACCAAGCAUUUAUUCAUACCUAAGGGAGUACAGCCCGGCGGUGUCCACCCCUUCCCCUUCCACCCCUUCUUCCCACAUACAGAGAGGUGAAACAUCGCCUCCUAAGCAAGAUGGAGGUGUAACACUGCAGGGUGACCGGAGAACACUUCCCUCAAAAUUUUCAUUUGACUUCAACCCAUUUGUGCCACAGGUACAAGUGUUACAAAGAAGCUCUUAUGGCUCUCAUAUAGCACCAGCUCAAUCUCUGCCUCCUGAUUUUGGACGAAGAUCAGCACCUCGUCUCAGUACAUCUCCAUAUUCUAGCCUCAUCUCCUCACGACCUACACUCAACAACACUUUACAAGAACUACGCUCUCCACCUGUGCCCAAAACUCAUACCCAAACUACAUCUUAUGGUAUUGUAACCACUCCUGCAGACUUCAUAAAAAGUGAUCCAAGUUCUUCACUGUCCACAUACACAAGCAUAAUAAGAAGACCAAAGGAACAGUUUGCUUCUUCUAACAGAGAACAGAGGACAGCAGUUCAAGCUUACACAAGCGCCUUAGAUAAUCACAAACCUGCCCAGCCAUGCCUCUUACAAACUGCACCAGAUGCAAGUUUUGUCAUGGAAAGCCAAAGCGCUAAUAUAAGCCCACACCCAAGGCAGCCCAACACAGGCUCUAACAACUUCUUUCAGCAGGAGCAUGAUGGCCUGAUAGAACUUCAGCUUGAUAAGGGUAAUGCAUACCCCAAGCACAAGCUGAGUGAGAAAGGUAAGUAUUUAUUACCUGAUAAGCUCACAGUAGAAAGUGAGACUCCACUGACAGCUGAGAAAGAUAUAUCUGCUGUGCAUAUGCAUGAGAGAUUGCAGGAAAUGCAAAGUUCCAAUUCAAAAAAAGGCCUCUUUAGUUCACGAGUUAAGAAAGACAAAGAAGCUGUCUUCUCUUCAGCUUCUUUGCCAGACAAAGAGGUUGUUAGUCCCCAGUAUUUAAAAACCAAAAGACAUUUGCCAGUGUUUAGAACGAGCAGCAGGAUUGACCAGAUGUUAAAUCGCUUGAAACUGACAUUUGGUGUCAAACGUUCAGACAGCUCACUUGACACACUACCAAAAAAGAACAAGAGUCCCACUCAGCACCCCUCAGAUACUGAGACUUUUGAAAGUCCCAAGACAGAGGAGAAAACAUGUUCUGAGAGCCAUCCGGCACCCUCUAACUCCUCUUUAACAACUGAUAAAACCUCUUUAGGUUCCUUGCCACUACUAACAUUAAAGAAAUCUGAGAGUACAUUAAAUAUGAGUGGACAAAAUAAGUCUAAGGCUGAAAUAAAUUAUUCUGGGUCCACACAGGAGGCCCCCAACUCGUCCUUGACCAUUGAUAAAGCAUCUUUUGCCUCUUUUGGGUCCUUGUUGCCACUUACAUUAGAGAAAUCUGAGAAUACUUUAAAUAUGGACUGGCAAAAUAGAUCUACAACUGAACAAAAGGGUUCUGGGUGCACAUGGGAGACCCCCAGCUCAUCUUUGACCACCAAUAAAGCAUCUUUUGCAUCUUUGACGCCACUUACAUUAAAGAAAUCUGGGAAUACUUUAAAAAUGAAUUGGCAAAACAGAUCUACAACUGAACAAAAGGGUUCUGGGUACACAUGGGAGGCCCCCAACUCAUCUUUGACCACCGAUAAAGGCUCUUUUGCUUCUUUUGGGUCUUUGUCGCCACUUACAUGCAGGAAAUCUGAGAAUACUUUAAAUAUGGACUGGCAAAACAGAUCUACAACUGAACAAAAGGGUUCUGAGUGCACAUGGAUGGCCCCCAACUCAUCUUUGACCACCGAUAAAGGCUCUUUUGGGUCCUUGUCACCCUUAACAUUAAAGAAAUCAUCUGAGAAUAAAUUAAAUGUUGAUCAGCAAAAGAGGCAUAGCGAUGAAAAUGGAAGAAGCUUUAGUCCACAUAGGCAAAAGGCCCAAAGUAUGAAUCGUUCUGCCACCUUGCCACAUUACAGAAAAUCCUCUGUCGGUCCCCCAUCGCCCUUUUAUUUGUUUGAUUUUGAUUCAGAAGACAUUCAGAAUGACAAUGUGUUUUAUAGUCCAUUGAGCAAAAAAACAAAUUCACUUUGUGAGUCCGAUGACUUCUCUCCUCAGAGCGCCACCAAGAGUCCUGUGCAGCAAAACCUUGUGAGGUCUCGCUUGUCCUCAUCAUGUGCUGAUUUAAAGUAUGGUCUACACAGUGGACGAUCUUUCUCAGUAAGCAGUGUGGUUUCAAGCCGCCCAUCAGGUCCUGGACGAAUCUCAACAAGCAGCAUCAGCGACCUCUCAAGUUUGGAUGACUUUCUGCCAAAGGGGAAUUAUACAAUAGUUGACUCUCCAAUGAGUAGUAGCCAUUCCCCAAUCUAUGAUGCAAAACCUAUCACUGGUAAACAGUCUCAAUCUGUAUAUACAGAUAAUCUUGAUCUUGAUCAUGAUGAUGCAGACCCAACCCCACCUCCAUCUCCAACUAUGUCCUCUUCACCUCGUCGGAUAUCCCAGGCUCCUUCUGUGUCUUCCCCCAUAUGGACAACUCCAGAAAAUCUGUCUCCUCCUCGUGGAAUCCUGUCAUCAAGGAGCUACACAACCAGCAUGACUGUUUUUGAGGAGUCUGAUUCUGACACCACAACCGAUGAUGAAUACUAUCUUGAUAAUGGUGAUGCGGUAGAAACAGAACUUUAGAAGAGAGAAUUGUAUGUUGUUCAAUUCCAUCAUGUUACAUAAACUGGGGGCAUUCUAUGCAUAGGGUCUUCUAUGACAAAGCUGCAGCAAAAUUAGGUCUCUGUCAAACCAAUCUAAAUUGUAAAAAAAACUAGAAAUCCAGAUUGCAUAUGAAUAGAAGGAAUUAUAAUUAUAUCAGAACCGUAAGACCGUGUUGAUUUCAUAUUUCUUGUUAUAAAUUAAAUAUAAUGGGUUUUUGAAUUCUUUAGUGCUUGAGGAUAACAAUGUUUGAUUUCAUUAUGAAUGUAUUUACAAUACAGUACAAUGCACUGUUUCAUUAGUUUUUUAUACAUAUGCAUAUACAUAUUUUCUGGAUCUUGAGGCUUUGAAAUGGUGAAUUCUCAUGUCAUUCCUUUUAUUGAGGCCUGCCUCCUGCAGGUUAUUGGCUGUUUCAUUCACUGUGGCAUUUGAAAGAAAAGCGUGUCAGUCACAAUACAUUAUUUCCCUGACCGACAUUAUAUAGUCAGAAGCUGCCAACCAAGAAACUGAACCCCAACUAUGUUUAAUAUAUGUAUUUGAAUUUUUUUCAAUACUGCUCCUUUAACAGUCAGAAAAAAUAUAGAAAAUAGAAAAAUGUAAUAUUGGUGCCCGCAACACUGAUGAUUCCACAUUAAUUAAAUUAAUUAUGGCUAAGUCUGUAAAGAAGAUGUUGUAACAGAUGUCUGCUGUCCAUUUGAUAUUAUUGUUAAAAGUAUGAAAGUGUUAUUGAAAACGGUGGCUGAUCCUCAUCCACGACUUGUUAAUUUGAGGUUCAAACACAUGACCUCUCACAAUCUGCAAAAGACAUACCACAGAUGAACUAAGCAUUCUUAAAAAAAAAAAGACCUUACGGUUGAUUUUAUUUGCUGUAUAAUUUAAUUUUGUUGUUUGUGUGCAUCAUGUUUGUGUGUGGCUUUCAGUGUAAUUUUAAUUGAUCUUUUAUUGUAAUUUAUUAUGCAGGGCAGGGGGUUGGGGCAUCAUUUCUCUCCUAUAGCCUUAGGGACCUCCAUAAGACCUGUCAAUUGCAGCACUGACCUACGGUACUACUAAAUGCUUUGUAACAUAGGCCUACAUAUGUAAGGUCCUUUUUGUAAGGCCAUUUCUUGAAUGUCUUCAUUAAAACAGUUAUAUUUAUGAACAUUUAAUAUAUUGACUAAAUUGUAUUUUUUCUAACACAGAAGUAGAAGAAUAUUGAUCACUUGUAAAAAUGACUGUAAAUGACUAACUUUGGACAAGACGGUAACUGCUAUGUUAAAAUUUGAUUAGCAAGUACACUCUAGUCUUAGUAAACUUGUUCUCUAAUAACACAGAAACUCUUAAUUGCAGCUCAUUAAAAC